rnacentral:rRNA from 1 species
UACGUAGGGUGCAAGCGUUUAAUCGGAAUUACUGGGCGUAAAGCGUGCGCAGGCGGUGAUGUAAGACAGAUGUGAGAUCCCCGGGCUCAACCUGGGAACUGCAUUUGUGACUGCAUCGCUGGAGUGCGGCAGAGGGGGAUGGAAUUCCGCGUGUAGCAGUGAAAUGCGUAGAUAUGCGGAGGAACACCGAUGGCGAAGGCAAUCCCCUGGGCCUGCACUGACGCUCAUGCACGAAAGCGUGGGGAGCAAACAGG